GCCUUCGUGGUGUAAUGGUCAGCACACUGAGCCGGUAUUUCAGAGGUCCGCGGUUCGAUUCCCGGUAAAGGUG
rnacentral:tRNA from 1 species